rnacentral:rRNA from 1 species
UGAAUACGAGACGCUAAGGCGUCGAAGUAGUGUAUGUCAUACUUCCAAGAAAAGCUUGCACUGUCAUAGAUAAAAAACGCCUGUACCAUAACCGACACAGGUGGGUAGGUAGAGUAUACUAAGGGGCGCGAGAUAACUCUCUCUAAGGAACUCGGCAAAAUAACUCCGUAACUUCGGGAGAAGGAGUGCCUUAUUCGUAAGGUUGCAAUAACAAGAUCCAAGCAACUGUUUAUCAAAAACACAGGUCUCCGCUAAGUCGUAAGGCGAUGUAUCGGGGCUGACGCCUGCCCAGUGCCAGAAGGUUAAAGAAGUUGGUUAGCAAUUGCGAAGCUGAUAACUGAAGCCCUGGUGAACGGCGGCCGUAACAAUAACGGUCCUAAGGUAGCGAAAUUCCUUGUCGGGUAAGUUCCGACCCGCACGAAAGGCGUAAUGAUUUGGAUACUGUCUCGGAGAGGGGCUCGGUGAAAUAGACUUGUCUGUGAAGAUGCGGACUACCUGCACCAGGACAGAAAGACCCUAUGAAGCUUUACUGUAACUUGAAAUUGAAAUUGGACUUUAUUCGCGCAGUAUAGGUGGGAGGCGUUGAUUAUAAUCUUGUGGGAUUAUUGGAGCCAUCAGUGAGAUACCACUCUUGUAAUGUUGGAUUUCUAACUUUGAAUCAUUAUCUGGUCAAAGAACAGUUUCAGGCGGGCAGUUUGACUGGGGCGGUCGCCUCCUAAACGGUAACGGAGGCGUACAAAGGUUUCCUCUGAACGGUUAGAAAUCGUAUCUAGAGUGUAAAGGCAUAAGGAAGCUUGACUGUGAGACCUACAAGUCGAGCAGGGACGAAAGUCGGUCUUAGUGAUCUGACGGUACUGAGUGGAAAGGCCGUCACUCAACGGAUAAAAGUUACUCUAGGAUAACAGGCUGAUCUCCCCCAAGAGUUCACAUCGACGGGGAGGUUUGGCACCUCGAUGUCGGCUCAUCGCAUCCUGGGGCGGUAGUACGUCCCAAGGGUUGGGCUGUUCGCCCAUGAAAGCGGUACGCGAGCUGGGUUCAGAACGUCGUGAGACAGUUCGGUCCAUAUCCGGUGUAGGCGUUAGAAUAUUGAGAGGAGCCUUCUUUAGUACGAGAGGACCGAGAAGGACAUACCUCUGGUGUACCAGUUAUCGUGCCAACGGUAAACGCUGGGUAGCUAUGUAUGGAGUGGAUAACCGCUGAAAGCAUCUAAGUGGGAAGCCCACCUCAAGAUAAGUAUUCUCAC